rnacentral:lncRNA from 1 species
AGACCGCCACGGUGACUUGCAAGCAACUCACUGCACUUAGGCACUAGACUACCUGAAUUUUUAAUUCAGUGACGGAAGGCUGCUGGGUGUAGUCAAGUACUUGACUUGUCGGUGUGUGUGUCAAGAUGGGAUUGAUCACUCCAGUUUAGGAGCUGUGUACAGUCGUAUUUCAAUUUAGCAAAAUCUUGGCCAGGGUAGUCCUUGUGAGGAGUCACAGGACUGUUUGAGUUGAGCA